rnacentral:rRNA from 1 species
UACAGAGGUCUCGAGCGUUGUUCGGAUUCAUUGGGCGUAAAGGGUGCGUAGGUGGCUAGGUAAGUCGGAUGUGAAAUCUCGGGGCUCAACCCCCGAAACUGCAUUCGAUACUGCCUGGCUAGAGUACUGGAGAGGAGAUUGGAAUUUACGGUGUAGCAGUGAAAUGCGUAGAUAUCGUAAGGAAGACCAGUGGCGAAGGCGGAUCUCUGGACAGUUACUGACACUGAGGCACGAAGGCCAGGGGAGCAAACGGG